rnacentral:rRNA from 1 species
UUUGGUUAAGUUAGAAAGGGCGCACGGUGGAUGCCUUGACACUAGGAGUCGAUGAAGGACGGGACUAACGCCGAUAUGCUUCGGGGAGCUGUAAGUAAGCUUUGAUCCGAAGAUUUCCGAAUGGGGAAACCCACCAUACGUAAUGGUAUGGUAUCCUUAUCUGAAUACAUAGGGUAAGGAAGACAGACCCAGGGAACUGAAACAUCUAAGUACCUGGAGGAAGAGAAAGCAAAUGCGAUUUCCUGAGUAGCGGCGAGCGAAACGGAACAUAGCCCAAACCAAGAGGCUUGCCUCUUGGGGUUGUAGGACAUUCUAUACGGAGUUACAAAGGAACGAGGUAGACGAAGCGACCUGGAAAGGUCCGUCGUAGAGGGUAACAACCCCGUAGUCGAAACUUCGUUCUCUCUUGAAUGUAUCCUGAGUACGGCGGAACACGUGAAAUUCCGUCGGAAUCUGGGAGGACCAUCUCCCAAGGCUAAAUACUCCCUAGUGAUCGAUAGUGAACCAGUACCGUGAGGGAAAGGUGAAAAGCACCCCGGAAGGGGAGUGAAAGAGAUCCUGAAACCGUGUGCCUACAAAUAGUCAGAGCCCGUUAAUGGGUGAUGGCGUGCCUUUUGUAGAAUGAACCGGCGAGUUACGAUCCCGUGCGAGGUUAAGCUGAAGAGGCGGAGCCGCAGCGAAAGCGAGUCUGAAUAGGGCGUUUAGUACGUGGUCGUAGACCCGAAACCAGGUGAUCUACCCAUGUCCAGGGUGAAGUUCAGGUAACACUGAAUGGAGGCCCGAACCCACGCACGUUGAAAAGUGCGGGGAUGAGGUGUGGGUAGCGGAGAAAUUCCAAUCGAACCUGGAGAUAGCUGGUUCUCCCCGAAAUAGCUUUAGGGCUAGCCUUAAGUGUAAGAGUCUUGGAGGUAGAGCACUGAUUGGACUAGGGGUCCUCAUCGGAUUACCGAAUUCAGUCAAACUCCGAAUGCCAAUGACUUAUCCUUAGGAGUCAGACUGCGAGUGAUAAGAUCCGUAGUCAAAAGGGAAACAGCCCAGACCGCCAGCUAAGGUCCCAAAGUGUGUAUUAAGUGGAAAAGGAUGUGGAGUUGCUUAGACAACUAGGAUGUUGGCUUAGAAGCAGCCACCAUUUAAAGAGUGCGUAAUAGCUCACUAGUCGAGUGACUCUGCGCCGAAAAUGUACCGGGGCUAAAUACACCACCGAAGCUGCGGAUUGAUACCAAUGGUAUCAGUGGUAGGGGAGCGUUCUAAGGACAGUGAAGUCAGACCGUAAGGACUGGUGGAGUGCUUAGAAGUGAGAAUGCCGGUAUGAGUAGCGAAAGACGGGUGAGAAUCCCGUCCACCGAAUGCCUAAGGUUUCCUGAGGAAGGCUCGUCCGCUCAGGGUUAGUCAGGACCUAAGCCGAGGCCGACAGGCGUAGGCGAUGGACAACAGGUUGAUAUUCCUGUACCACCUCUUUAUCGUUUGAGCAAUGGAGGGACGCAGAAGGAUAGAAGAAGCGUGCGAUUGGUUGUGCACGUCCAAGCAGUUAGGCUGAUAAGUAGGCAAAUCCGCUUAUCAUAAAGGCUGAGCUGUGAUGGGGAAGCUCCUUAUGGAGCGAAGUCUUUGAUUCCCCGCUGCCAAGAAAAGCUUCUAGCGAGAUAAAAGGUGCCUGUACCGCAAACCGACACAGGUAGGCGAGGAGAGAAUCCUAAGGUGUGCGAGAGAACUCUGGUUAAGGAACUCGGCAAAAUGACCCCGUAACUUCGGGAGAAGGGGUGCUUUCUUAACGGAAAGCCGCAGUGAAUAGGCCCAAGCGACUGUUUAGCAAAAACACAGCUCUCUGCGAAGCCGUAAGGCGAAGUAUAGGGGGUGACACCUGCCCGGUGCUGGAAGGUUAAGGAGAGGGGUUAGCGUAAGCGAAGCUCUGAACUGAAGCCCCAGUAAACGGCGGCCGUAACUAUAACGGUCCUAAGGUAGCGAAAUUCCUUGUCGGGUAAGUUCCGACCCGCACGAAAGGUGUAACGAUUUGGGCACUGUCUCAACCAGAGACUCGGUGAAAUUAUAGUACCUGUGAAGAUGCAGGUUACCCGCGACAGGACGGAAAGACCCCGUGGAGCUUUACUGUAGCCUGAUAUUGAAUUUUGGUACAUUUUGUACAGGAUAGGCGGGAGCCUUUGAAACCGGAGCGCUAGCUUCGGUGGAGGCGCUGGUGGGAUACCGCCCUGAAUGUAUUGAAAUUCUAACCUACGGGUCUUAUCGACCCGGGAGACAGUGUCAGGUGGGCAGUUUGACUGGGGCGGUCGCCUCCUAAAGUGUAACGGAGGCGCCCAAAGGUUCCCUCAGAAUGGUUGGAAAUCAUUCGUAGAGUGCAAAGGCAUAAGGGAGCUUGACUGCGAGACCUACAAGUCGAGCAGGGACGAAAGUCGGGCUUAGUGAUCCGGUGGUUCCGCAUGGAAGGGCCAUCGCUCAACGGAUAAAAGCUACCCCGGGGAUAACAGGCUUAUCUCCCCAAGAGUCCACAUCGACGGGGAGGUUUGGCACCUCGAUGUCGGCUCAUCGCAUCCUGGGGCUGUAGUCGGUCCCAAGGGUUGGGCUGUUCGCCCAUUAAAGCGGUACGCGAGCUGGGUUCAGAACGUCGUGAGACAGUUCGGUCCCUAUCCGUCGUGGGCGUAGGAAAUUUGAGAGGAGCUGUCCUUAGUACGAGAGGACCGGGAUGGACGCACCGCUGGUGUACCAGUUGUUCUGCCAAGGGCAUAGCUGGGUAGCUAUGUGCGGAAGGGAUAAGUGCUGAAAGCAUCUAAGCAUGAAGCCCCCCUCAAGAUGAGAUUUCCCAUAGCGUAAGCUAGUAAGAUCCCUGAAAGAUGAUCAGGUUGAUAGGUUCGAGGUGGAAGCAUGGUGACAUGUGGAGCUGACGAAUACUAAUAGAUCGAGGACUUAACCAUAUAA